ACACAGAGGGUACAUCCAAGUGGGACCUGGCUGUGCAUGGAUAGGAGACCUCUGGUUGAGCAAAGCCAGACCCAGUUCUGGGCUCAGACCCUAUGCAGCAGAACACACUGCUACACUGGUGUCACAUCCCAUCCCCAGGAGAGCUGGAAGAGGUUUCUGCACAGGACCUGUUUUUGGCUUUCGCCCAGCUGCAUUGCUCUGAAGACUGAUGAGUGCACUCUGGAAGCUAAUUAGAAGUUUCUUGCAUAGUUUGACUAAAAUUGGUCAAACUGUUAUGGAGAUCCAGGUCAGAGACAUUACUCAGAUUUGGAUUUGCUCCUUAAAUUGUAGUUUUUGGAGUACGUUCCUCCAUCUGAACUAGAAAAAUCUUUCCACUGGGCAGUCUGGGCCAAAGCAGGUUUGUACCUGGGGCAUUUGACAUCACCACUGUUCAAAAAGUUGGAAAGACAGCAACGAAAUUAUUCCUAAUCUUGUCUCUAGGCUGCUUCAGAAUGUCUGUGUUGUUUUAAAAGGUAGAUUUGCUACUGGACAGAGAGUGAGGGCUACAACGUGAGGCUGAAGGGAUGGGUGCAGUUAAAAUCAACUAAAAGUCGUUGUACAGAAGUUUUGACUUUUGCUCUCAAUGAAAACUGGGAGUUUUGGGGCUUGCAGAGCAGAAAAUCUGCUUUCUGUGUUGCUUUAAAGCCUUCUCCUCAAGUCCAUCCGUGGCUGUGGUGUAAAUGGUGUAGGUCAUCCUUGGAGCCUUCGCUCCUUUUCUGCAGCAGCAGUGUGUAGAAUGGCAGCUCAUUGGCUCAGGGCUGCUGCAUACUGCGAGUGUUUGUGUUGCCUUCUCCUUAGAGAUGUUUGAGUGACCUUGAAACACGAAACCCAUCUUGAUAACUGCAUCACAGCUUUUGGUGAUCCGAGGUCACACUUUGGACAGGACAUGAUGGACAUCCUGCAACCCACAGCCUGCAAUUCUGUUUGUCCCAAGCUGUUGGUAUCUCUGCUAAAAAAAAAAAAAAGGAGAAAUGUUGCAGACUUACAUGACAAGCCAAAUCCUGGGAUUUAUCACUGCCUCCUGAGGGAUUAGAGUAGCGGGAAGGAGCUGAGCCUGUGUUUUCUUUCUGAUGGGUGAUUGCUGUGGAUGUUGCCUCUUCUUAGCCUUCCUGACAAGAGCUUCGGAUUUGCUUCUUGCAUCUAAGCUGUGUGAUGAAUGGUUGGGGUGAUUCCAUGGACCUUUGCAGCAGCUUAA